rnacentral:lncRNA from 1 species
UCUGUUGUUAACUCUCAAGGCUUCAAGCAGGACAAAUUGCUCUGAUGAAGGAUGCUGAAUUUACAGAAACAACCUCUUUGAAGGCUUUUAAAGGUUGUGCUUAAGUAUUGUCAGAGGUGAUAUAUCUGUGAGCAUAUUUAUGCUUUCUCCCCACAUCAGCCUGCACAGAUGCCUGGCUGACAGACAAGAAGAGGAGCACCGUUGCUGAGGUUUCUCUGAAUAUUUCAGGCCUGAUCGAACUCCGAAAGCAAAUGCUCUCAGCAGUUUCCUUCAGGAGCUCUUGCAAACAACCAGGAAUGUCAGAACCAGAACGUUUCCCCAGUGACAGCUUCAUCCUUUAAACUUCGCAGAUGAGACAGCAUGCGGAGCAAUCUGUGCUGAAGCAGGAUUAGGAGUUACCAGGGUGACACUUUGUAAUUUGUAGGAUGCUGACAAUGAACCUCGGAAAAGCACAAGACCUUUGCUGGAGCUCAAGAGACCACAGAGACCCAAUUGGCAU